AAUCAACGCUGGCGGCGCGCCUAACACAUGCAAGUCGAACGAGAAAGUGGGAAACCAUGAGUACAGUGGCGUACGGGUGAGUAACACGUGGGUGAUCUACCUCUUAGUGAGGAAUAACCCUGGGAAACCGGGGCUAAUACCGCAUAAGCCUUAGCAGGGAAAGUCGAAAGACGCUGAGAGAGGAGCCCGCGGCCGAUUAGCUAGUUGGUGGGGUAAGAGCCCACCAAGGCAGAGAUCGGUAGCCGGCCUGAGAGGGCACACGGCCACACU
rnacentral:rRNA from 1 species